rnacentral:rRNA from 16 species
GGAUGCGAUCAUACCAGCACUAAAGCACCGGAUCCCAUCAGAACUCCGAAGUUAGCGUGCUUGGGCGAGAGUAGUACUAGGAUGGGUGAACCUCCUGGGGAAUCCCUCGUCUUGCAUUCC